CUAAUUAAACAAUUGGGAUUCUGAGCACUUCUUUGCUCAGAGAAAUGAUUAAUAAUUUCAAAAUUUCAAAAUGUCAAGCUGAUUAUAUAAACCAAAUCACUGAAAUUUUGCAUUUAACUUGGGUCUUGUCUUUGGUCAACAGAAAUAAUGUGAUACCAUGGAUAUACUGUGGAUUUAUUGAAAUGAAGAGCAGUUGCUUCUCUGAUCACCCACAGAUCACAUUUAAAAUGAUUAAUCAUGCAUUACAACAGAUUGGUUAAUUUGGAAAAUUUUAUUAUAUGAGUUUCUAUAUCAUUAUUUUUAUUAUUAUUGCUUUAUUAUAAUUUAUCUCAGAUACAUGAAGUCACUUGGUGCUCUGGUAGCUUUCAUGCGCGUCCGUGUUAAGAGACCACCAAACGGGCUUUGUGUGAGCAAUAAAGCUGUUUAUUUCACCUGGGUGCAGGUGGGCUGAGUCCGAAAAGAGAGUCAGCGAAGGGAGAUAGGGGUGGGGCCGUUUUAUAGGAUUUGGGUAGGUAAAGGAAAAUUACAGUCAAAGGGGGUUUGUUCUCUGGCGGGUAGGAGUGGGGGUCGCAAGGUGCUCAGUGGGGGUGCUUUUUGAGCCAGGAUGAGCCAGGAAAAGGACUUUCACAAGGUAAUGUCAUCACUUAAGGCAAGGACCGGCCAUUUACACUUCUUUUGUGGUGGAAUGUCAUCAGUUAAGGUGGGGCAGGGCAUAUUCACUUCUUUUGUGAUUCUUCAGUUACUUCAGGCCAUCUGGGCGUAUACGUGCAAGUCACAGGGGAUGCGAUGGCUUGGCUUGGGCUCGGAGGCCUGACAUUCCUGCCUUCUUAUAUUAAUAAGAAAAAUAAAACAAAAUAGUGUUGAAGUGUUGGGGCGGCGAAAAUUUUUGAGGGUGGUAUGGAGAGAGAAUGGGCGAUGUUUCUCAGGGCUGCUUCAAGUGGGAUUAGGGGCAGCGUGGGAACCUAGAGAGGGAGAGAUUAAGUUGAAGGGAGGUCUUGUGUAAGCGGUGAUAUUGUGGGGAUGUUAGAAGAAACAUUUGUCAUAUAGAAUGAUUGGUCAUGGCCUGGAUACGGUUUUGGAUGAAUUGAGAAACCAAAUAGAAUAAAAGAAGGAGAAAAACAGGUAUAAAAGGUCUAAGAAUUGGGAUGACUCAGGAUAUCUGAUUAGAGAGUGCCUAAGGAGAUUCAGUAUAGUCCUGCCAGCAAAGAUUAUUUAUUUACUUCAAGAGUUAAGAGUGGCAGUUUGGGGAUAGCACCAGGAGAUAUCAGCUGUGAUGGCUUGGAAAAACAGUGUAAACCGGCAGUGUAAACAAGAGCAGGGCAUGUAUGAGUAGUUGAGAACGGUGAAUAUGAGUAUGACUAGACAGAAGAUAGUGGGGAUGACAAGUUUUUUGGGGCACAGUCUAAGUUGGUCUGGUGUCUGGAAUGAGACUGGGGCCUAAUAAAAAGGAGCGUCUAUACAGGAGCUUAAAUGGGCUGUACCCUGUAGCAUUCUGAGGACAGGCCUGAAUUCUGAGAAGGGAAGGUGGUAAAAGUAUUGUCCAGUCCUUUUUAAGUUGGUGGCUGAGCUUGGUGAGGUGUGUUUUUAAAAGACCUUUAGUCCAUUCUACUUUUCUUGAAGAUGGAGGAUCGUAAGGGAUAUAAAGGUUUCACUGAAUACUAAGAGCCCGAAAAACUGCUUGGCUGAUUUGACUAAUAAAGGCUCAUCUGUUAUCAGACUGUAUUGAGGUGGGAAGGCUAAACUGAGGAAUUAUGUCUGACAGAAUGGAAGAAAUGACUGCGGUGGCCUUCUCAGACCCUGUAGGAAAGGCCUGUACCUAUCCAGUGAAAGUAUCUACCUAGACUAAGAGGUAUUUUAGUUUUCUGACUCGGGGCAUGUUGAGUAAAGCUAAUUUGCCAGUCCUGGGUGGGGCAAAUCCUCGAGCUUGAUGUGUAGGGAAGGGAGGGGGCCUGAAUAAUCCCUGAGGAGUAGUAGAAUAGCAGAUGGAACACUGAGAAGUUAUUUCCUUGAGGAUAGAUUUCCACGAUGGAAAGGAAAUGAGAGGUUCUAAGAGACAGGCUAGUGGCUUGUACUAUAGCAUAACCUGCCUUUGCUGGUAUGUGGCGAUUAGGCCUGGUGGAACCACCAUCAAUAAAUCAAGCGUGAUCAGGUGAGGAACAGGAAAGAAGGAAAUAUAGGGAAAUGGGGUGAAUAUCAGGUGGAUCAGAGAGAUACAGUCAUGGGGGUCAGGUGUGGUAUCAGGAAUAAUGUGGGAGGCCGGAUUGAAGUCUGGGCCAGGAACAACGGUAAUUGUGGGACUUAACAAAGAGUGAGUACAGCUGAAGGAGCCGGGGAGCAGCAGGUAUAUGCGUCAGGUAUGAGGAAGAAAAUAGAUUUUGGAAGUUAUGAGAACUGUAGAGAUUGAGUUGAGCAUAGUUUGUGAUUUUGAGGGCCUCUAAAAGUAUUAGGGCAGCAGCAGCGGCUGCACGGAGACAUGAUGGCCAGCCUGAAACAGUAAGGUCAAGUUGUUUGGACAAAAAGGCUACAGGACGCGAUCCUGGUCCUUACAUAAGAAUUCCGACUGCACAGCCCUGCACUUUGGCUGUGUGUAAUGAAAAGGGUUGGGAUGAGUCAGGGAGAACUAGAGUGGGGGCAAUUUCUAAAGCUGUCUUCAAGGAAUGGAAAGAGGAGUGGGGAAAGGAUUUAGGAUCUAUGGGGUCAGCUAGGUUUCCUUUUGUGAGCUUAUAUAAUGGUUUUGUUAGGAUGGCCAAACCAGGUAUCCAAAGGCGAAAGUAUCCAACCAUGGCCAGGAAGGAAAGGAGUUCUUGUUUUGUAGAAGGGGUUGGGGUUUGAGAGAUCAGUCAGACACGAUUGGCAGGGAGAGCACGUGUGUUUUUAUGAGAAUUAUGCCAAGAUAGGUAACAGAUGAGGAAGAAAUUUGAGCUUGAUUGAAGUAAUGGGGGCUGUCUGUGAAGCUUUGCGGCAGUACAGCCCGGGUAAUUUGCUGAGCUUGAUGGGAGUCAGGGUCAGUCCACGUGAAAGCGAAGAGAGGCUGGGAUUAAUGGUGCAAAGGAAUAGUAAAGAAAGCAUGUUUGAGAUCUAGAACAGAAUAAUGGGUUGUAGAGGCAGGUAUUGAGGAUAGGAGAGUAUAUGGGUUUGGCACCACGGGGUGGACAGACAAAACAAUUUGGUUGAUAAGGCGCAGAUCCUGAACUAACUUGUAAGGCUUGUCUGGUUUUAGGACAGGUGAAAUGGGGGAAUUGUAAGGAGAGUUUAUAGGCUUUAAAAGGCCAUGCUGUAGCAGGCGAGUGAUAACAGGCUUUAAUCUUUUUAAAGCAUGCUGCAGGAUGGAAUAUUGGCAUUGAGUGGGGUAAGGGUGAUUAGGUUUUAAUGAGAUGGUAAGGGGUGCAUGAUCGGUCGCCAAGGAGGGAGUAGAGGUAUCUUAUACUUGUGGGUUAAAGUGGGGGAUAAAAGAGGAGGAUGCAAAGGAGGCUUUGGAUUGGGAAGAAGGGCGGCAAUGAGAUAUAGCUGUAGUCCAGGAAUAGUCAGGGAAGCAGAUAAUUUAGUUAAAGUGUCUCAGCCUAAUAAGGGAACUGGGCAGGUGGGGAUAACUAAAAAGGAGUGCUUAAAAGAGUAUUGUCUAAGUUGGCACCAGAGUUGGGGAGUUUUAAGAGGUUUAGAAGCCUGGCCGUCAAUACCCACAACAGUUCUGGGGGCAAGGGAAACGGGCCCUUGAAAAGAAGGUAAUGUGGAGUGGGUAGCCUCCGUAUUGAUUAAGAAGGGGACGGGCUUACCGUCCACUGUGAGACUUACCCGAAGCUCGGCGUCCGUGAUGGUCUAGGGGGCUUCCGAGGCGAUUGGGCAGUGUCAGUCUUCAGCCUCUAAGCCGAGAAGAUCUGGCAAGGAGUCAGUCAGAGAGCCCUGGGCCAGAGUUCCAGGGGCUCUGGGAGUGGCUGCCAGGUGAGUUGAACAGUCUGAUUUUCAGUGGGGUCCCACACAGAUGGGACGCGGCUUAGGAGGAAUCCCGGGCUGCGGGCAUUCCUUGGCCCAGUGGCCAGAUUUCCAGCACGCGUAGCAAGCUUCUGUGGGAAAAGGUUCUGGAGGAACGCCUGGCCACUGCACUUCAGGCAUUUGGAAGUUCUUAUGUGCUGGAGAUGUGGCUGGGGUUUGUCUCACAGUGGAGGCAAGGAAUUGCAACUUUUUUCUAUUAUUGUACACAUUGAAGGUGAGGUUAAUUAAAUCCUGUUGUGGGGUUUGAGGGCCAGAAUUUAAUUUUUGGAGUUUUAUUUAAUGUUGGGAGCAGACUGGGUAAUAAAAUGCAUUUUGAGAAUAAGACGGCCUUUUGACAUUUUAGGGUCUAGGGCUGUAAAGUGUCUCGGAGUUGCUGCCAAACAAGUCAUGAACUGGGCUGGAUUUUUAUAUUUGAUGUAAAAGCCUAAACGCUAUCUGAUUUGGGAUAAAGAGAAAGGAGCAUUAACCUUGACUAUGCCUUUAGCUCCAGCCACCUUUUUAAGAGUAAAUUGCUGGGCAGGAGGGGGAGGGCUAGUCACGGAACGAAACUGUAAGCCGGACCAGGUGUGAGGAGGGGAGGUGAUAAAAAGAUUAUAGGGUGGAGGAGCAGAGGCUGAGGAAGAAUUGGGACCUAGCUUGGCCUGGCAAGGAGCAGCCUUGGGAGGAAGGGAGAGGUCAGAUGGGUCUGUAGAAAAGGAAGAUUAGAAAGACUCAGCGACGCUUGGGGUUGGUACUGAGGGGACAGGCGGAAGGGAAAGAAGGAAGAUUUGGGAUGAGUUGCACUGGGCACAGAGACUAGGAAAGGACUGAUGUGUAAAAGAAUGCCUGGACAUCAGGCACCUCAGACCGUUUGCCUAUUUUACGACAAGAAUUAUUUAGAUCUUGCAGGAUGGAAAAAUUCAAAGUGCCAUUUUCUGGCUAUUUGGAACUGCUGUCGAGUUUGUACUGGGGUCAAGCGGCAUUGCACAAGAAAAUAAGCCAUUUAGGUUUUAGGUCAGGUGUGAGUUGAAGAGGUUUUAAGUUUUUGAGAACACAGGCCAAGGGAGUAGAAGGAGGAAUGGAGGGUGGAACGUUGCCCGUAGUGAAGGAAGCAAGCCUAGAGAAAAGAGAGAGUAGAGAAACAGAGGGAAGGGGUUCGGGCAUUCUUACCUUCCAGAAAAGUGGGAAAAGGGGUUGGGGUGCAGAGAUAAGAGGUUGGGGCAGGGAAAUAAGGGAUGGGGCGCAGAAAUAAGAGGUUGGGGCAUGGUAUUAAGGGACUGGGGUGCAGAGAUAUAAGAGGUUGGGGCACGGAAAUAAGGGAUUGGGGCACAGAGAUGCGAGGUUGUGGCACGGAAAUAAGGGAUUGGGGCACAGAGAUGUUGGGGCAUGGAAAUAAGGGAUUGGGGGUUCUUGCCCCGUAGAAAAGCGGGACUUGCCGCUAAGGGUGAAGGAGAAGGGGUUGAGGGGUACUUGCCCCUGCCCCAGAAAAGCAGAGAAGGGGUAGAGACAAGGAGAGAAGGGGUUGAGGGGUACUUGCCCCUUCCCCAGAAAAGCGGGACUUGCCGCUAAGGGUGAAGGACCAAGGCAGGCGUCCCUGCGUGGUCUGACACCUUUGAAACAUGGGUGAAUAAUCAGAGGCGUCCCUGCAAUGAUUAAACACCAAGGGAAGACUGCCUUCCCAGUCCGUGACCGGCGCCGGAGUUUUGGGUCCACGGAUAAAACGUGUCUCCUUUGUCUCUACCAGAAAAUACCAGAAAAUGAAAGGAAUUGAAAUUAAGAGAAGGGAGAGAUUGAAGUGUGGCACCAAGAUUGAAAGGAGAAAGAGGUUGAGGGUUAGUGAGGGAGGUUGGAGAAGAGAGUAAAAAGAGGCCGCUUACAGGAUUUGAAAUUGGUGAGAUGUUUCUUGGGCUGGUCGGUCUGAGGACCUGAGGUCGUAGGUGGAUCUUUCUCACGGAGCAAAGAACAGGAGGACGGGGGAUUGAUCUCCCAAGGGAGGUCCCCCGAUCCGAGUCACAGCACCAAAUUUCAUGCGCGUCCCUGUGAAAAGACCACCAAACAGGCUUUGUGUGAGCAGUAAAGCUGUUUAUUUCACUUGGGAGCAGGUGGGCUGAGUCCGAAAAGAGAGUCAGCGAAGGGAGAUAAGGGUGGGGCCGUUUUAUAGGAUUUGGGUAGGUAAAGGAAAAUUGCAGUCAAAGCGGGUUUGUUCUCUGGCAGGCAGGAGUGGGGGUCGCAAGGUGCUCAGUGGGGGUGCUUUUUGAGCCAGGAUGAGCUAGGAAAAGGACUUUCACAAGGUAAUGUCAUCACGUAAGGCAAGGACUGGCCAUUUACACUUCUUUUGUGGUGGAAUGUCAUCAGUUAAGGUGGGGCAGGGCAUAUUCACUUCUUUUGUGAUUCUUCACUUACUUCAGGCCAUCUGGGCUUAUAUGUGCAAGUCACAGGGGAUGCGAUUGCUUGGCUUGGGCUCAGAGGCUUGACAGUAGCCACAGUCUGGAUAAGGAUAAGCAACUGGAUCAUAACAAUCAUGCAAUGAUACAUCAGGACCCUCGACCUCACAACAUUUUGUCUACCAUAUGCUUAAAAGAAGAGCUAAAAUUCUAUAAGGGCGAGAAAGACCAUCAACAAUCAACAUAACAGAUAACUACAUUAUGUGAUAUUUUAGAAGUUGAUAGCCUCAUUAAAAAAAGAAAGAAACAGUAGAGCAGAGUAAGGAAGAUAAUAAGAAUCUAGUGGCCAGAAGAGGCAAAUUGUAGUAAUAAAUAAGAAGGUCCAGAUAGGACGCAUUGAGUCAGUGACAUUUGACCAAAAUUUUGAAAGAGAAGAAAUGUUUCACUAAUUGGAUAUCUGCGAGCGGAGCAUUCCAGGCAGAGGGGACUGCAAGAGCAAAGGCGGUUGCUCAGGAGCCUGCUUGCGGAGACAUCAGGAGCAACGUUAGCAAGAAAAAGGAGGAAAGGCAAAUAGGCAUUUACUUUAAGCAUUACAAACUAGCAAAAUGUCCCAACAAUGAAGAAAUACUUACUUUUAAGAAUAAAAUGAAGAAAAUAUGAGAUCUAAGUGAGCAACUGGGAAGUUUACUCCAACAGAUCUGAGUCAACAUUUACAAAUCCCUAUGCUACACUGAAUAGUUCAGAACUUUGGAACUUCAAGACUCUGGUACAUUCAUCAAGAAAAUAUCUCCAUCCAGGUGUCUGGAUGGGCAGUUUGCAGCUCUUCUGCAGUGGGCCAUUUGCAGCUUUUCUCAGGGGAAAGGCUACACUGUGGGGCUUCUUCAAUCUCAACACACAGAAGAGUAACUGCUAUUGAAUUCACAUUUAAAACAUAGCUAUAUUUUCCAAAUCAGUUUUCCAUGCUAUCAUUUUAUUUGCACUUCAUAAAAAUACCAUAAAGUAGAAAGGACUGAAAAGUAUCAUAUUUAACUUAGGAGGGGGUGAAGGAUACUGGUUGAGUGCAAGGGUGUUGGAGUAGGAAAGACUGAGUCUGAAUCCCAGCUUUGUCAUUUACUGUUUCUUUCUGUAAGUUAUAUAUUCUUUUUUUUUCCUCAGUUCCCCAUUUAUAAAAUAGAAAAAAUGGCACCACCUACUCAUAAGUUUGUUUUGAGAAAUACAGUGUAUGAUACCUGUUAAACACAUUGGAUAAUGCCCAGAUGUAUUAUAUAUUCAAUAAAUGAAAAUUGUUAUUUAUGUUAAUAGUAUUGCUUUUGAAUGGAAAAAUGAUACACAGAGAAGUUAAAAUGAUGUGAAAAAAGCCAAGAGCUGGUUAAUAGCAUAGUUGAAUUUAGAAGUCACUUUAAUUCCUGUAUCCCUAACCUACAAUAUUUCCCUAACCUAUGACAGUAUGUGAUUAAGUGCAAAAUAUAUAGAUAAUAAAAAGUUACAUAAAAGUUUGCAUGACAUGGACAAUCGUAUACUCCAUGUAUUCUACCUUGGAAAACCAAUGAUAAUUCUAAAUUUUACUUGAAGUUUCCUAGCUCCAUAAGCUGUUUACUAGAUAGAAAUCUUUUGUUAUGUAUUUGAAAAAUCAGAUAAUCUAAAAUGUAUCCCCUGGUUGUGACCUGAACUUCUUCGGUCUCAGUGGACAUAAAUAUUCCAAUCUUGUGUACAGUUUAUCUUUGAAUAUAAAUAAAUAUAUGGUUUCUCA
rnacentral:lncRNA from 1 species